CUUGAUGGCGACCGGCGCACGGGUGAGUAACGCGUAUCCAACCUUCCCUAUACUAGAGGAUAGCCCGGCGAAAGUCGGAUUAAUACUCUAUGUUGUAUUUCGAGGACAUCUGAAGAAUACCAAAGGUUUACCGGUAUAGGAUGGGGAUGCGUCUGAUUAGGUUGUUGGCGGGGUAACGGCCCACCAAGCCUACGAUCAGUAGGGGUUCUGAGAGGAAGGUCCCCCACAUUGGAACUGAGACACGGUCCAAACUCCUACGGGAGGCAGCAGUGAGGAAUAUUGGUCAAGUGGACGAGAGUCUGAACCAGCCAAGUAGCGUGCAGGAUGACGGCCCUAUGGGUUGUAAACUGCUUUUAUACAGGGAUAAAGUGACGUACGUGUACGUUUUUGUAGGUACUGUAUGAAUAAGGACCGGCUAAUUCCGUGCCAGCCGCUGC
rnacentral:rRNA from 1 species